CUUUUGCCGCGAUUUUGGAUUUUCAAGCUUUGGCCACAGUUUCCCCGUUACUGCAAAACAAAUGAUCGAGACACAAAAUUGAUGGAGACACAAAAUGUUGUGACUAUGAGGCGACGUCGAGUAAUCAAGCCUAGAGGGGAUGAUAACAAGAUUUAUUACCAAAGAGGCGUUGCUUGUCACUGUCCCAUGCUAUGCCAUUCAAAACAUCAAUACCCUAUAGUGCAUGCAAGAUUAAGAUGCCACAACUAAUAGAUGCAAAUAUCAGAAACAGUUGGAAUACCUGCCACACAUUUGCCCAAACUUCGUUGUUUAUGUACUCGAGCUCAUUAAGGUAACGUACCUCACGGCCAUUAUAUCUGACUAUAUGCUUAUCAGUAACUGCAGAGAAGAGACACAAUAAAAUGCUAAAUAUACUACUCCCUAUGUAAAUAAUUAAGUAAGUGGCUCAAGGGCACAAAAACUUAAUCAGUAUAAGCAAGAAACCUUUCAUUGUUUGAGGGUCCAUCCGAUAU